GCAUGUCUGUCUUGAAGAGGGCAGGUUCAGUGCACAUUUAUUUUCUACCAAGACAGUGUCAGGAGAAGGCCUUGCUGCUUUUGUUAUUAUUCCUGGAAAGGAGAAUUGUGUGAAAAUUGUUUUGGUUUUAAUACAGAAUAAUAUAUUUUUUAAUUUAGGGCUUAUUUUGAAAAAUAAUGAGUUCAGCUCAAAUGUGUGCAGAUACCUUCUAGAAAAAGUGGACUCAUGCUCUUGGAGGAAGACACCAUAGUCACUUCCACCUCCUGGGCCUGACAGCCAACCCAAGAGGCUGUGUCUCACAAAUUUACUGAAGACACCGCAGCUCCUGGAUCCAGGCAGUACCCUCGCCCAUGGCCCUUGGCCCCAAUGCCCUCCCCAUCCCAGUCUGGGCCACUCACUGAAGCUGGUUGAUGAUGACCAUGCGGACGUGCUCCCGGGCCUUCAAG